rnacentral:rRNA from 1 species
CCCUUAGAUGUCCGGGGCUGCACGCGCGCUGCACUGACUGGCUCAGCGUGUGCCUACCCUACGCCGGCAGGCGCGGGUAACCCGUUGAACCCCAUUCGUGAUGGGGAUCGGGGAUUGCAAUUAUUCCCCAUGAACGAGGAAUUCCCAGUAAGUGCGGGUCAUAAGCUUGCGUUGAUUAAGUCCCUGCCCUUUGUACACACCGCCCGUCGCUACUACCGAUUGGAUGGUUUAGUGAGGCCCUCGGAUCGGCCCCGCCGGGGUCGGCCCACGGCCCUGGCGGAGCGCUGAGAAGACGGUCGAACUUGACUAUCUAGAGGAAGUAAAAGUCGUAACA